UACGUAGGGGGCGAGCGUUGUCCGGAAUCAUUGGGCGUAAAGGGCGCGUAGGCGGCUUGGCAAGUGGAAGGUGAAAUCCCUCGGCUUAACCGAGGAACUGCCCUCCAAACUGCUUUGCUUGAGGCCGGGAGAGGCGAGUGGAAUUCCCAGUGUAGCGGUGAAAUGCGUAGAUAUUGGGAGGAACACCAGUGGCGAAGGCGGCUCGCUGGACCGGUUCUGACGCUGAGGCGCGAAAGCGUGGGGAGCAAACGGG
rnacentral:rRNA from 1 species